rnacentral:ncRNA from 1 species
UAUCAGAAGGGGUGCUCUUCCGCGCCAGAUGGAAUUGCUGAGAUAACACCCAUGAACCUGAUCUGGAUAAUACCAGCGUAGGAAAAUUAU